CACCUGCCUUAGCGAUUGAAACGGCAUCAGUUUAAAUAGAAAAAACUGCCUUUUACGGCAGUUUUUUUUUAUUUAAAAGUUAUAAUGGAAAGCGCGACCCAUU
rnacentral:sRNA from 1 species